GGGUCGUUAGCUCAGUCGGUAGAGCGCUUCGUUUACACCGAAGAUGUCGGGAGUUCGAGUCUCUCACGACCCACCA
rnacentral:tRNA from 1 species